UUAAGCGACUAAGCGUACACGGUGGAUGCCUAGGCAGUCAGAGGCGAUGAAGGGCGUGCUAAUCUGCGAUAAGCGUCGGUAAGCUGAUAUGAAGCGUUAUACCCGACGAUACCCGAAUGGGGAAACCCAGUGUGUUUCGACACACUAUCAUUACGUGAAUACAUAGCGUAAUGAGGCGAACCGGGGGAACUGAAACAUCUCAGUACCCCGAGGAAAAGAAAUCAACCGAGAUUCCCCUAGUAGCGGCGAGCGAACGGGGAGGAGCCCAGAACCUGAAUCAGUUUGUGUGUUAGUGGAAGCGUCUGGAAAGUCGCACAGUAAAGGGUGAUAGUCCCGUACACAAAAAUGCACAAAUUGUGAGUUCGAUGAGUAGGGCGGGACACGUGACAUCCUGUCUGAAUAUGGGGGGACCAUCCUCCAAGGCUAAAUACUCCUGACUGACCGAUAGUGAACCAGUACCGUGAGGGAAAGGCGAAAAGAACCCCGGCGAGGGGAGUGAAAUAGAACCUGAAACCGUGUACGUACAAGCAGUGGGAGCCUUGAUUAAUCAGGGUGACUGCGUACCUUUUGUAUAAUGGGUCAGCGACUUAUAUUCUGUAGCAAGGUUAACCGUAUAGGGGAGCCGUAGGGAAACCGAGUCUUAACUGGGCGUUAAGUUGCAGGGUAUAGACCCGAAACCCGGUGAUCUAGCCAUGGGCAGGUUGAAGGUUGGGUAACACUAACUGGAGGACCGAACCGACUAAUGUUGAAAAAUUAGCGGAUGACUUGUGGCUGGGGGUGAAAGGCCAAUCAAACCGGGAGAUAGCUGGUUCUCCCCGAAAGCUAUUUAGGUAGCGCCUCGUGAAUUCAUCUUCGGGGGUAGAGCACUGUUUCGGCUAGGGGGUCAUCCCGACUUACCAACCCGAUGCAAACUACGAAUACCGAAGAAUGUUAUCACGGGAGACACACGGCGGGUGCUAACGUUCGUCGUGAAGAGGGAAACAACCCAGACCGCCAGCUAAGGUCCCAAAGUCAUGGUUAAGUGGGAAACGAUGUGGGAAGGCACAGACAGCCAGGAUGUUGGCUUAGAAGCAGCCAUCAUUUAAAGAAAGCGUAAUAGCUCACUGGUCGAGUCGGCCUGCGCGGAAGAUGUAACGGGGCUAAACCAUGCACCGAAGCUGCGGCAGCGACACUUAGGUGUUGUUGGGUAGGGGAGCGUUCUGUAAGCCGUCGAAGGUGGCCUGUGAGGGUUGCUGGAGGUAUCAGAAGUGCGAAUGCUGACAUAAGUAACGAUAAUGCGGGUGAAAAACCCGCACGCCGGAAGACCAAGGGUUCCUGUCCAACGUUAAUCGGGGCAGGGUGAGUCGACCCCUAAGGCGAGGCUGAAAAGCGUAGUCGAUGGGAAACAGGUUAAUAUUCCUGUACUCGGUGUUACUGCGAAGGGGGGACGGAGAAAGCUAGGUUAUCCGGGCGACGGUUGUCCCGGUUUAAGCGUGAAGGUGGAUGACUUUGGUAAAUCCGGGUCGUCAUUAACACUGAGGCGUGAUGACGAGUCACUACGGUGAUGAAGUAACCAAUGCUACGCUUCCAGGAAAAGCCUCUAAGCUCCAGGUAACAUCAAAUCGUACCCCAAACCGACACAGGUGGUCAGGUAGAGAAUACUCAGGCGCUUGAGAGAACUCGGGUGAAGGAACUAGGCAAAAUGGUGCCGUAACUUCGGGAGAAGGCACGCUGAUGGUAGGUGAAGUGACUUGCUCACGGAGCUGAAAUCAGUCGAAGAUACCAGCUGGCUGCAACUGUUUAAUAAAAACACAGCACUGUGCAAACACGAAAGUGGACGUAUACGGUGUGACGCCUGCCCGGUGCCGGAAGGUUAAUUGAUGGGGUCAGCCGCAAGGCGAAGCUCUUGAUCGAAGCCCCGGUAAACGGCGGCCGUAACUAUAACGGUCCUAAGGUAGCGAAAUUCCUUGUCGGGUAAGUUCCGACCUGCACGAAUGGCGUAAUGAUGGCCAGGCUGUCUCCACCCGAGACUCAGUGAAAUUGAACUCGCUGUGAAGAUGCAGUGUACCCGCGGCAAGACGGAAAGACCCCGUGAACCUUUACUAUAGCUUGACACUGAACCUUGAGCCUUGAUGUGUAGGAUAGGUGGGAGGCUUUGAAGCGUGGACGCCAGUCUGCGUGGAGCCAACCUUGAAAUACCACCCUUUAAUGUUUGAUGUUCUAACGUGGGCCCGUGAUCCGGGUUGCGGACAGUGUCUGGUGGGUAGUUUGACUGGGGCGGUCUCCUCCCAAAGCGUAACGGAGGAGCACGAAGGUUAGCUAAUCCUGGUCGGACAUCAGGAGGUUAGUGCAAAGGCAUAAGCUAGCUUGACUGCGAGAGUGACAGCUCGAGCAGGUGCGAAAGCAGGUCUUAGUGAUCCGGUGGUUCUGAAUGGAAGGGCCAUCGCUCAACGGAUAAAAGGUACUCCGGGGAUAACAGGCUGAUACCGCCCAAGAGUUCAUAUCGACGGCGGUGUUUGGCACCUCGAUGUCGGCUCAUCACAUCCUGGGGCUGAAGUAGGUCCCAAGGGUAUGGCUGUUCGCCAUUUAAAGUGGUACGCGAGCUGGGUUUAGAACGUCGUGAGACAGUUCGGUCCCUAUCUGCCGUGGGCGUUGGAAGAUUGAGAGGGGUUGCUCCUAGUACGAGAGGACCGGAGUGAACGCACCACUGGUGUUCGGGUUGUGAUGCCAAUUGCAUUGCCCGGUAGCUAAGUGCGGAAGAGAUAACCGCUGAAAGCAUCUAAGCGGGAAACUUGCCUCGAGAUGAGUCUUCCCUGGGUACUUGAUACCCCUGAAGGGCCGUUGAAGACUACGACGUAGAUAGGCUGGGUGUGUAAGCGUAGCGAUACGUUGAGCUAACCAGUACUAAUGACCCGAGAGGCUUAACCU
rnacentral:rRNA from 1 species